rnacentral:rRNA from 1 species
UACGGGGGGAGCAAGCGUUGUUCGGAUUUACUGGGCGUAAAGGGCGCGUAGGCGGCGUGGUAAGUCACUUGUGAAAUCUCCGAGCUUAACUCGGAACGGUCAAGUGAUACUGCUGUGCUAGAGUGCGGAAGGGGCAACUGGAAUUCUCGGUGUAGCGGUGAAAUGCGUAGAUAUCGAGAGGAACACCUGCGGCGAAGGCGGGUUGCUGGGCCGACACUGACGCUGAGGCGCGAAAGCCAGGGGAGCAAACGGG